rnacentral:rRNA from 1 species
UACGGAGGGUGCAAGCGUUAUCCGGAAUCACUGGGCGUAAAGGGCGCGUAGGUGGUCUGUUAAGUCUGGCGUUAAAGCCUGGGGCUCAACCCCAGAUCAGCGUUGGAUACUGGCAGGCUAGACGGUUGGAGAGGCGAGUGGAAUUACCAGUGUAGCGGUGGAAUGCGUAGAUACUGGUAGGAACACCCAUUGCGAAGGCAGCUCGCUGGACAACACGUGACACUGAGGCGCGAAAGUGUGGGGAGCAAACAGGAUUAGAUACCCCGGUA